UACGUAGGGCGCAAGCGUUGUCCGGAAUUAUUGGGCGUAAAGAGCUCGUAGGCGGUUUGUCGCGUCGUCCGUGAAAACUCACAGCUUAACUGUGAGCUUGCGGUCGAUACGGGCAGGCUAGAGUUCGGUAGGGGAGACUGGAAUUCCUGGUGUAGCGGUGAAAUGCGCAGAUAUCAGGAGGAACACCGGUGGCGAAGGCGGUUCUCUGGGCAUUACCUGACGCUGAGGAGCGAAAGUGUGGGGAGCGAACAGG
rnacentral:rRNA from 1 species